rfam:Triticum aestivum genome assembly, contig: Triticum_aestivum_CS42_TGACv1_scaffold_178351_2DS
AUAGUUACCUGGACGGGGUCAACGGCUGAUCAUUAAGAGCUGUGGCCUAGGUUAGUGGUCCACAUUGCAUUUGAUGGAUGCGCUGGCUUACCAUCUCUCCAAGUGGGAGAGUGGAUGUCAUAAUUUGUGAUAGAGGGAGUACGCGUUUAAAUUUUAAAUUUAUCUUA